rnacentral:rRNA from 1 species
GACGAACGCUGGCGGCGUGCUUAACACAUGCAAGUCGAACGAUGAAAGAGAAUCCGAUCUCUUCGGAGUGAAGAAUCUCUGGAUUAGUGGCGGACGGGUGAGUAACGCGUGAGCAAUCUGCCUUACACAGAGGGAUAGCCUCGGGAAACCGGGAUUAAUACCAUAUGAUAUCUAUUAACCGCAUGGUUUAUAGAUUAAAGAAUUUCGGUGUAAGAUGAGCUCGCGUCCCAUUAAUUAGUUGGUGAGGGUAACGGCCCACCAAGAUAGCGAUGGGUAGCCGAUCUAAGAGGAUGACCGGCCACAUUGGAACUGAGAAACGGUCCAAACUCCUACGGGAGGCAGCAGUGGGGAAUAUUGCACAAUGGGGGAAACCCUGAUGCAGCGACGCCGCGUGAGCGAUGAAGGCUUUCGAGUCGUAAAGCUCUGUCCUAUGGGAAGAUAAU